rnacentral:ribozyme from 1 species
UGCCCAGCCACUCCUAUCCUUACCUCCUCGUGGUACCGGCCGGAAACUAUGAGCAACCUUAGGGAAGAUCGGGUAACCAACAACCCCGGUGGGAACUUUGGUCGUAGGCUGACAGGGAAGG